GAUGAACGCUGGCGGCGUGCCUAAUACAUGCAAGUCGAGCGAACGGACGAGAAGCUUGCUUCUCUGAUGUUAGCGGCGGACGGGUGAGUAACACGUGGAUAACCUACCUAUAAGACUGGGAUAACUUCGGGAAACCGGAGCUAAUACCGGAUGAUAUUUUGAACCGCAUGGUUCAAAAGUGAAAGACGGUCUUGCUGUCACUUAUAGAUGGAUCCGCGCUGCAUUAGCUAGUUGGUAAGGUAACGGCUUACCAAGGCAACGAUGCAUAGCCGACCUGAGAGGGUGAUCGGCCACACUGGAACUGAGACACGGUCCAGAAUCCUACGGGAGGCAGCAGUAGGGAAUCUUCCGCAAUGGGCGAGAGCCUGACGGAGCAACGCCGCGUAAGUGAUGAAGGUCUUCGGAUCGUAAAACUCUGUUAUUAGGGAAGAACAUAUGUGUAAGUAACUGUGCACAUCUUGACGGUACCUAAUCAGAAAGCCACGGCUAACUACGUG
rnacentral:rRNA from 1 species